UACGUAGGGUGCAAGCGUUGUCCGGAAUUAUUGGGCGUAAAGAGCUCGUAGGCGGUUUGUCGCGUCUGCUGUGAAAACUCAGGGCUUAACCCUGAGCCUGCAGUGGGUACGGGCAGACUAGAGUGUGGUAGGGGAGACUGGAAUUCCUGGUGUAGCGGUGAAAUGCGCAGAUAUCAGGAGGAACACCGAUGGCGAAGGCAGGUCUCUGGGCCACUACUGACGCUG
rnacentral:rRNA from 1 species